UCAGACUCAGCACCCUACUAGUGAGCUAGGGAUGUGUCCACAUAAUAUGAGGCAGGGCCCUGUCUGUUUUGCUUAACCUCCACUAGUGGCAGAUACUCCCCAGAGAGCCAGUUCCCUUGAUGGAGAUGAGGAAAAAGCCGCCAAGACCUUAAUGGUAAAGAGGCUGAUGUCACAACUUCAAGGCCCUGCUGAAGGUCACGCAGCCAGGUUAGCAGUUCAAGCAGGUUUGCCUUUGCUGAAGAAGCAGCAGGCCUGAAAUUGUCCUGUGGUUUCAUAAAUCAGAAUCGGUAAAAAACACCUUGCCUUACAACUACAAACCAGGGAGUUGUCCUAAAGUGAGCAGGAGAACACUCAGAAGCAAAUGGAAAGGUUGGUUUUCCUCCCUUGCGCUGUGCCAUCCCGCGCUGA